CCCUUAGAUGUUCUGGGCAGCACGCGCGCUACAAUGGUCUUCGCAAACGGAUGCAUUCUCGAAGGAGAAUGCCAAUCUUGGAAUCUAUGCCUUGGUCGGGACAGUUGCUUGCAAUUUUUCGACUCGAACCAGGAAUUCCUUGUAAUCGUGAUUCAUCACAUCACGAUGAAUACGUCCCUGCCCUUUGUACACACCGCCCGUCGCUCCUACCGAUCGAAUGAUCCGAUGAAUAUCAUGGAUUGAGGAUGCAAGUAGGUUCGCCUAUCUUCAUCUUCGAGAAGUGAAGUAAAUCUUAUCAUUUAGAGGAAGGAGAAGUCGUAACA
rnacentral:rRNA from 1 species